rnacentral:rRNA from 1 species
CAGUCGCCGCGGUAAUACGUAGGGUGCGAGCGUUAAUCGGAAUUACUGGGCGUAAAGCGUGCGCAGGCGGUUAUAUAAGACAGAUGUGAAAUCCCCGGGCUCAACCUGGGACCUGCAUUUGUGACUGUAUAGCUAGAGUACGGUAGAGGGGGAUGGAAUUCCGCGUGUAGCAGUGAAAUGCGUAGAUAUGCGGAGGAACACCGAUGGCGAAGGCAAUCCCCUGGACCUGUACUGACGCUCACGCACGAAAGCGUGGGGAGCAAACAGGAUUAGAUACCCGAGUAGUCCCUGUCUCUUAUAC